rnacentral:rRNA from 1 species
ACAGUGGGAUCUCCCAUCCCUCGGAAAACUCCGGGAAAUGGAGCUAAUACCGCAUACGCCUUAGGGGGAAGAUUUAUCGGGGAUGGAUGAGCCCGCGUUGGAUUAGCUAGUUGGGGGKAAAGCCUACCAGGCGACGAUCCAUAGCUGGUCUGAGAGRUGAUCAGCCACAUUGGGACUGAGACACGGCCCAACUCCUCGGGAGGCAGCAGUGGGGAAUAUUGGAAAGGGGCGCAA